UGGUGUGCGACCCACGGGAUGAAACUCUCC
rnacentral:piRNA from 1 species